AACGAACGCUGGCGGCAUGCCUAACACAUGCAAGUCGAACGAGACCUUCGGGUCUAGUGGCGCACGGGUGCGUAACGCGUGAGAACCUGCCCUUAGGUUCGGAAUAACUCCCCGAAAGGGGUGCUAAUACCAGAUAAUGUCUUCGGACCAAAGAUUUAUCGCCUUUGGAUGGGCCCGCGUUGGAUUAGCUAGUUGGUAGGGUAAAAGCCUACCAAGGCGACGAUCCAUAGCUGGUCUGAGAGGAUGAUCAGCCACACUGGGACUGAGACACGGCCCAGACUCCUACGGGAAGCAGCAGUGGGGAAUAUUGGACAAUGGGCGAAAGCCUGAUCCAGCAAUGCCGCGUGAGUGAUGAAGGCCUUAGGGUUGUAAAGCUCUUUUACCCGGGAUGAUAAUGACAGUACCGGGAGAAUAAGCUCCGGCUAACUCCGUG
rnacentral:rRNA from 1 species